AUGGACAGCAUGCUGUAUUAGCUUCCUAGGAAAGGGUGCAUCAGAGGUGAUUUUCAAAAAUCUUAUAUGUCUGAACAUAUUUUCAUUUACAUUACAUGGCUAAUUGAUAGUUUGAUGAGGAAUAGAAAUCUAAGUUGAAAAUAAUUUUACCUCAGAAUUUUGAAGGCAUCAUUUUAUUGUCUUCCAUUUUCUAGUGUUGCUUUUGUGUAUAAUAGUCAGUGCCACUGUCAUUCCUUAUCUACAUGGGUGACCUCUCUUCCUCUCCCUCCCAAUCUGGUUGUUAAGAUCUUUUCUAUUCUGUUCUGAAAUAUACAGUCAUGUCCUGUAGUAUAUAUAUUUUUUCAUAAAUGAUACCGUGCACUCAGAGGGUUCUUUCAGUCAAAGUUCAUGUCCUCCUGUUCUGGGAAAUUGUUUUAUGCUAGUUCUUAGAUAAUUUCUUCCCUCAGUUUUUUUCUAGUCUCUUUUCAGAACAACUAAUUAGUUGGAUUUUGGGUCUCUUGAACUAAUCCUUUCAUUUCCUCUCGUUUUCUCUUGUGUUUCCAUCUGCCUCCAGCUUCUACUUUUAGUGAGAUUUCCUGACUUAGAAUCUGUCUUCAUCACUGACUAGUGCUUGAGUAUGUUACUUAAUGUCUUUUGCUAGUUUCUCCAACUGUAGGAUUAAUUAUUGAACUCAUUUUAGAGGAUUAUUGUGAGAAUUAAAUGACUUACUGCAUGUAAAGCAUAGCACAUAGAAAGUAAUACAUUGUGGCAGAUGGCUUUCAGCUCUGGCUGUUAUUGCUUCUUCAAUUUUAUUUUCAUUUUUGAUAUCUUAUUUUUAAUUUUGGGAACUCUUUCUCCCUCUAUUUUUAUAGCAACUUUUUCUUCAUGGGUACAGUAGCUUGUUGUAAUUCUCUUUGAGUGUUAAUUGCAGUUUUUUAUUCUGUUUAGUUUUCUUCUUUCUUACAUAGUUGCUUUUAUCCAAAUUCAUUUUUGUUUCUUUUAGUUCCUUUCUUUCCUAUGGAAGCUUUCCUCAAAUGGCUAAUGAUCCUCAUUGUUGGUCCAUAUUUAAGAGUAAUGUAGCCGGGCAAAAUGGCUCAUGCAUAUAAUCCUAGCACUUUGGGAGGCCGAGGCGGGCGGAUUGCCUGAACUCAGGAGUUCAAAACCAGCCUGGGCAACAUGGCGAAACCCCGUCUCUACUAAAAUACAAAAUAUUAGCUGGGCAUGGUGGUGUGUGCCUGUAGUCCCAGCUACUCAGAAGGCUGAGGCACAAGAAUUGCUUGAACCCGGGAGGCUGAGAUUGUACCACUGCACUCCAGCCUGAGUGACAGAGUGAGACUCUGCCUCAAAAAAAAAAAAAAAGAAGAAGAAGAAGAAGAACAGACUUCAGCUCAGCUGCAGGGAAAUAUGAUCAUGCCAUUGCACUACAGCCUGGGUGACACAAGAAAUAAAAAUAUUAAAAAAAAAGAAUGAAGGACUUAAAACUGAAAACAAAAACCCCAAAAAAGUGUUUUUGUACAUGUGUAAGCCUCAUCAGCUAGCUUGAUUUUACUGUGGAUUGAUUGGAUAAGCACCCACACCGUAAGCUUCAGUACAAAUGUUCCUUAACUUGCAGUGGGGUUGUGCCCCAAUAAACUCAUUAUAGCUUGAAAAUCUGUUGAAUGCACCUAACCUACAGAACCUCAUAGCUUAGUCGAACAUACCUUAAACAUGCUCAGAACACUUAUAUUAGCCUACAGUUGGGCAAAAUCAUGUAACACAAAGCCUAUUUUAUAAUAAACUUGAAUAUCUCAUGUAGCAUGCUAGUAUUAAAUACUGUUCUGAAAGUCAAAAACAGAAUGGUCAUCUAGGUAUUUAAAGCACUGUUUCUACUGAAUGUGUAUUGCUUUUGUACCAUCAUAAAGUAAGUUGAACCAUUGUAAGUUGAGGACUGUUCGUCCAUAGGUUUCCUUUCUGGAAACCUAUUCAGUUUUUUCCAGCAAAAAUUCUUCAGUUUCCUAUCUGCAGGGUACCACAUGUCUUGUUGCCAGUCUUUUUGUCCUUGCUUGUUUUAAAACUAUGGCACAGGGGAUAGGGUUGGCAGCAUGGGGGUUGGAGGUUCACUUUGCAAUACCGAUACUUUCACUUGGUUUACUUCUGUGAAAACCGAAGAACAGGGCCGCCCUCCUUCAUAUGAAGAUGUGUUUGAUGUCUCAGGGUCUGGGACCUCUUUGGUUCACUCUUUGGUUCAAGUUAUCCACAGACUAUACCUCCUUUUUUCUGCAGUGAUAUGAGAGGUGGUGGUGAUGGUGAGUUUACCUGGCUGUACCACAUUCAACCAGUCCUCUGGUUUAGGGCCUGCUUCUCAACCCAGGUUUCUGUGGGACCAGGGGCUGAGCCUUUCCAAGGUUCUGGGGUGAAAAUUAGCUUGCUUCUCAUUAAUAUCCCCCCAUAGUCAUUUGGGGCUUUGUCCAUUUUCCUAAAUUAGUUUCCACUUCAUCAUCUGCUUUCUGUCCUCCAAAAGUAUGUCAGCAUCUGUGAUCCACUAUAUCUCCUUGACUAUUCUUUUUGUCUUUGUGGGUUUGUACAUUUUUGUUUUUGUUCCUUUACUCAUUGUUUAAGGUGGCUUGGUAAAGGGAUAGAGAUAAAUGCGUGAGUAUUUUCUGUACUUAACUGGAAUUCAGGGAAAGUAUUACUAUUAGUAAACCAAAUUGAAAUUGUUCAUUGAUGGACUGCAAGGUAUUCCAGAAAUAUUUCAUUAAUGUAUCCAUUCAGCAACUGUUUAAGGAGUGCUUACUGUGUACUAGGCAUUGUUAUAGUUUUCAAGAUAAAUAUUCUGUUCGCAUGAAGCUUUUAUUCUAUCAGGAAACAGACAAUAAACAGCUAAACAAAAAUAAAAUGUGAAGAGAGCAGUAAAUGCUAUAAAGAAAAGGGAAGGGAUCAAAAGUGACAGGAAUUACUGUCUAAGCACAUUCAGGGAGAUUUUUUUCUGAGGGCAACAUUUAAACAGAAACCUGAAUGAAUGGAGGAGCAUGCUUGGUACAAUAAAGGAAUAAUGAAGAGUCCUGUGUGGCAGCAGUGCAGGGAGGGAGGGAGGAAGAAGGUCAUAGGAGAUGAGGUCAGAGUGGGAGGUGCGGCCAGAUCAUUCUGGGUAUUAUAGGCCAUGGUCAAGAGUUUGUAUUUUAUUUCACAUAAAAUAUAUUUUGGGGAGGUAUUGGAGAGUUUUCAGCAAGAGAAUGACCUAUCUUUGGGGGUUGAAUCACAAGCCUACCGAUAAUGUAAACUGCCACAGUCAGUUCCUGCCCUGACAGACCAAGCUCUCUUCCUUGAUGGUGGGCAAAUUUGGGGUUGCUCCCUAUUUUAAAACCAUUGCCACCCGUAGUCCCCACUGUAGAAUUUCCUUAGGUGGCCAUAUUAUAUACUACGUGAACUCUGGCUUCCUUGGUUUUAUACCUCAUGGGCUGAGUUGUUAAGAUUCCUACUCUUUUCCGGCAUUGGGGUUGGGGGUGUUAGGGAACAGGGUCUCACUCUGUCACCUAGGCUGAAGAGCAGAGGUGUGAUCACAGCUCACUGUAACCUUGAACUGCUGGGCUCAAGCAGUCCUCCCGCCUCAGCCUUCCAAGGAGCUAGGAUUACAGGUGUGCACCAUGACCCAGCUAAUUAAAAAAAAAAAAAAAAUGUUUUUUUGGUAGAGACAGGAACUCACUAUGUUGUACAGGCUGCUCUCAAACUCCUGGCCUCAAGCCAUUCUCCUGCCUCGGCCUCCCAAAGUGUUAGGAUUAUAGGUGUGAGCUGUCGUGCCCAGCCUAAAAUUCUUACUCUUAAGAAUGGGAAAGCAAGUGCUUCUACUAUUAUGUGAUACAUGUAUUUCUGAAAAGUCUCGUACUUCUACCCACUAAAAAUAAGAAAGCC
rnacentral:lncRNA from 1 species